AAUAUGCAAGACUUUUUUUCUCAAGUUUAAAAUGUGACAUUAUUUUUUGUUAUCUACAUUCCAACAUUGGAGCUUUAUAUUUUUGCUAGAAACAAGCCCCUUCUUGGAAUCAAGAACUU